rnacentral:rRNA from 1 species
CCUACGGGAGGCAGCAGUGGGGAAUCUUGGACAAUGGGCGCAAGCCUGAUCCAGCCAUGCCGCGUGAGUGAAGAAGGCCUUCGGGUUGUAAAGCUCUUUUACCAGGGACGAUAAUGACGGUACCUGGAGAAUAAGCCCCGGCAAACUUCGUGCCAGCAGCCGCGGUAAUACGAAGGGGGCUAGCGUUGUUCGGAAUUACUGGGCGUAAAGCGCACGUAGGCGGAUUGUUAAGUCAGAGGUGAAAUCCCGGAGCUCAACUUCGGAACUGCCUUUGNUACUGGCAAUCUCGAGUCCGGAAGAGGUUAGUGGAAUUCCCAGUGUAGAGGUGAAAUUCGUAGAUAUUGGAAGACACCAGUGGNGAG